rnacentral:rRNA from 1 species
CAUCGCCCCUUGAAAAUUAAAAAUAGGGGGUACUGCCUGCCCAGUGACUAAAAUUUAACGGCCGCGGUAUUUUGACCGUGCAAAGGUAGCAUAAUAAUUUGCUCUUUAAUUGAGGGCUAGUAUGAAAGGCAAGACGAAAGCUUAACUGUCUCCCUACUUAAAAAAGAAAUUAAUAUUUUAGUGAAGAAGCUAAAAUAAAAAUGUAAGACGAGAAGACCCUGUCGAGCUUAAGAAAAUUUUUAUUUAUUAAAAGAAAAAGCUAAUUUUUUUUAUUUUUACUUUUUAAUCAAAACAAUAAAAAUAUCUUUGGUUGGGGCAACCACGAAGAAAAAAAAACCUUCGAUUUUUACAAAAAAUAAACAAAUUUAAAAGCUAAUUUUUAAAGCUAAUAAGAUCCGGAUAACACACUUAACCGAUCAAAGAAAAAAGUUACCGCAGGGAUAACAGCGUUAUUCUCUUUAAGAGCUCGUAUUGACAAGAGAGUUUGCGACCUCGAUGUUGGAUCGGGGCAUCCAAGAGAUGCAGAAGUCUCUAAAGGUAGGUCUGUUCGACCUUUAAAGCCCUACGUGA